UUGUUGACGGACGUUUUGCUUCUCUAUCGCCCUCCCUCGCUCUCUCUCUCUCCAUUUCUCCCUUCUCUCCCGCGGUCACGGCGACCGUCGAUAUGGCGACGGGGCGAUCGAGAUGAGGCGCUCUCAUCCGUCGAUCUUCUUCUUCUCCCCUCGCGGCAGCUCAAGAACGACGCUUCCCUCUCCCUCCCUUCCAUUUCCUGGGCCGUCGGAUCGCUCCAUCGUCCGAAGGGACUCGGCCGUCGUCGUCAUGCCUCUCUGCACCGCGCGCCUGGUUUUCCCUCCCGUCUUCGGCGGAUUCCGGCUCCCCCGUGGUUAGGGUUUCGGGUAUCGGUCUGUCCAUUUAGAGUUCGUGUUUCGUGGACGAUGAGGUCGGAUGGUGCUCUGAUCGCUUUCUAGGGUUGGUGCGAAGACUCCUCUUUCCGUAUCUCUGGCUGUUUGAUUCGUCGGUGAUGGGUUCCGACGUUUUCUAAUUAGUUUCAAGGGUUAGGGUUUCUUGUUGCUAGAAAGGAAAAGGGAAAAUAUCCGCGUUUUGGGGUUUCCUGUAGAAAUUUUCCUUUUUUCUUCCUUUUCUGUGGCUUUGAUUUGCGGUAGUGUUGAUGGGGGUGGUUUUUGUAGAUGGAAUAGAAGAAUGAUAGAUUUUUGAGAUGCUAUUGUGGGUAACGGUGGAAGAGCAGAUCCAACCCCACCGGGAUCGAGAGAGGGACGAUGAGGAGGGGCUUCUUCUAACAGGGUUGAUGCCCAUGGAGAACCACCACCCGCUCACCCUCCUCUCCAUGGACUCGAGCGCUCACGACGACCUCGACCGGGAGCCGCCGGGGCGCCAGAUCGUCCUCUCGCGUCCGCCUGACAUCAAUCUUCCCCUUUCGGCAGAGCGGAGCCCCCCACCUCCUUCCUCGUGGUCUUCCGCCGAUGGCAGCGGAUGCGGGGGAGGGAAAAUCCUUGACGUUGGCCUCGGCUCCCAGAUCUACGAAUCGGAGGCGCUGAUGAGCCAGCCGAAGCCCGGAAGGAAGUGUGCGAAGCGCAGUGACAGCAUCUGGGGAGCGUGGUUCUUCUUCAACUUCUACUUCAAGCCCGUGUUCGUCGACAAGGUGAAGGCAAAGGCAGCCGGAAACGGCGGUGGUGCUGCUGCUUCAGGCGCUGGAUUCGACAAGACGGACCUCCGCCUAGACGUCUUCUUGGUGCAGCACGAUAUGGAGAACAUGUACAUGUGGGCCUUCAAGGAGCGGCCUGAGAAUGCCCUGGGGAAGAUGCAGCUCCGGAGCUACAUGAACGGGCAUUCCAGGCCUGGCGAGCCGCAGUUCCCUUACAGCGUUGAUAAGGGCUUUGUUCGAUCGCAUCGGAUGCAGAGGAAGCAGUAUAGGGGUCUCUCGAAUCCGCAGUGCGUGCAUGGAAUCGACGUGGUGAGGGUGCCUGACCUAUCGCAUCUACUAGAAGGGGACCUCAAGAAAUGGAUGGAACUGACGGGGAGGGAUCUGAAUUUUUCAAUCCCUUCGGAGGCAAGCGAUUUCGGCUCAUGGCGACACCUUCCCAGUACAGAUUUUGAGCUUGAGCGCCCCUUGCCUCCUCCUUCUUUGAAGAACAACAACAAUUCUUCUGCGAGGAGGUUGCUUAAUGGCUCCGGGUUGAAUCUUACAAAUGGUAUUGGCAACGAUGUGAUGGAGCUUUCUCCUGUCUGCAACAAGCGGAAAAAGGAAUUCUUCCCCCACGUUAAUGAUGACGAUUGCUGCUUACCUUUGAACUAUACUGACCGCAGCCAAGAUGUGGAGAUCCAUCAGAUGGAACCUCCGUGGUUGAAUGAUUUCUCUGGUGUGAUGAGGCAGGCGUACGGUCCUGUGACAGCUGCAAAGACCAUCUAUGAAGAUGAAGAAGGGUACCUGAUUGUGGUCAGCUUGCCAUUUGCGGAUCAUCAGAGGGUGAAAGUUUCAUGGAGGAAUACGCUUACUCAUGGGAUUGUGAAGAUCCUAUGCGUGAGUACUGCAAGGAUGCCAUAUAUAAAGAGGCAUGAUCGAACAUUCAAGUUGACGGAUCCAUCUCCUGAACAUUGUCCUCCUGGAGAAUUUGUAAGAGAGAUCCCUCUGGCAACAAGGAUACCAGAGGAGGCAAAAUUGGAAGCUUAUUAUGACGAGGCUUGCGCUGGUUUGGAGAUUUUGGUUCCCAAACACAGGGUUGGGCCUGAAGAGCAUGAAGUUCGUGUCUGCCUUCGCCCUCAUCUUGGCACAAACGAAUUGCUUCUGACUUGAAGGAGGAUAGGACGUUCCGACCCACCAGGAAGUAGGAAAAACAGAAAAGAAUGGAAGUGUAUCAACAUUGCCAAGCUGCAGCUUUCUGACUGCUGCUUACUUUGAGGCUGUGGACUUUGUUUUGCCGCAAGAUGAUGGCCAUGCUCUUACUUGCUGAUAGGAUCCAUCACUCCCUGACCAGACAGAAGGAGCUCUCCGACCAGUGAUUCUCGACUAUUUUUUUGAUGCUGGAUUCCUGCAACUUUAUCCAGUAUUUUUUCAGUGGUACCUUCCUAGAGAGAUCUAAGCGGGGCGAGGGAUUUUGAAACCAAGGUUACUACAUUUUGUUGGAAAUUUGUUAAGUUUUUUUACUUUAACAAUAUGUAACAGUGGUGUAAAUCAUGUCAUUGGUCAUUCAUCCUUUUGUUUAUUUGAACAACUUCUGCAUGGUAAUGUAGGUGCAACCACUAGAUGAAUUCUGUUUGCUCCACCUUAUAGGGGGGAAAUGUCAGAAUGGAUGAAGCAUCCUACAUGUUCUGUACUUUUGAAAUGUUGUUUAAUUUUUUUCUUCAUGCCCUCA